rnacentral:rRNA from 1 species
UACGUAGGUGGCGAGCGUUGUCCGGAUUUACUGGGCGUAAAGCGCGCGCAGGCGGUCCGGUAAGUCUCCGGUGAAAUCGCCCGGCUCAACUGGGCGGGUGCCGGGGAGACUGGCGGACUUGAGGAGCCUAGAGGCCGGUGGAACUCCCGGUGUAGUGGUGAAAUGCGUAGAGAUCGGGAAGAACACCAGUGGCGAAGGCGGCCGGCUGGGGGUGUCCUGACGCUGAGGCGGCGAGAGCGUGGGGGAGCAAACCGG